GGGGGCGCCUCCCGGGAUGCGGUGAGCCUCUUCCCCCCCCCCUUGGGAGAAAGGGGUCCCAGGGCUGCAGCGGGGGGGGGGGUGCAUGGAGGGGGGUCGGGGAGAGGAGGGUCCUGCCCCUCCUUCCUCUGCAGAGCCCGGGAGGGGGCGAGCUGGUCUCCCUGGGGAUGCUGGGAUGCAGGCAGGCAAAGAAGCCCCUUUCAGGAUUUACUAACCGCUUAGUACUUAGAAGAAGGCCAAGGGGUUUCCUUCUGAUUUCUUGGAGGCUUCCUGAGAACACAGAUGGAUGAGCAAGACUCAGCCGGCCCUGAUGCAGGAAGGGGUCA